rnacentral:tRNA from 1 species
GCGCCUGUAGCUCAGGGGAUAGAGCAACUGCCUUCUAAGCAGUAGGUCGGAGGUUCGAAUCCUCUCAGGCGCGCCA